GGCCGACUAGCUCAGUUGGUUAGAGCGUCGUGCUAAUACGAUCCCUUGGUAAGGGUGCGAACACGCGAAUCUCCCACUCUUACCGAUGGACUCGAUACGCGAAGGUCUUGGGUUCGAUCCCCACGUUGGCCA
rnacentral:tRNA from 1 species